CCCCCCCCCGGGCCACCCACUCGCGGCUGUCCCAGCGCGGCCGAGCCCCGGGCCCGCUUCGCGUUUGCUUCCCCGAAGACCGGGACACCCCGACGGCACGGAGCAGCCCCGGCCCAUCUCCACAGAGUCACCACGAGCCGCCGUCUCCCCACGUCGAGGAACAGAGGUUAAAGGGAGAACUGCGGCUCUGGGGAAUGCUUUUGACCGCCGACCGGGGGGGUCAGCCCUGGGCCGGCUUUGGGGUCAGGGAAACCCGAGGAAAGCGGCCUCUUUGGGAGACGCGAUCCCCGCUUUCCCCUUUUGCUGUCGUCUUUCUGUCCCUCCCGUGGAAGCGGGGACACUCCCGCACCCCGCGGAUGGCAACGGAGGGAAACGAUCCUCUCCGAACUCCGCCGCCCCGUUAGUCUGCUUUCGGCCGCGACUUUCGCCGAGAAACCCAAAAGCGCUGAGAGCAGCACACCGUCAGUCGAGCAAAAACUUCAGCGUUUCGGAGGAGCUCUCAAAAUACAGCCCUACCUCCGCCCGCCGCCGAAACCGGACCCGUUAGAAGAGCCUGAAGCACCUCCGAACGGGACAGUGUGGGACGGAAUGCUCCGCUGGGGCCGAGAGGGGAAACUAUGGGGAUAACGCUGCUGAGUGCGGAGUCGGGGAGCGCAGGAGAGCGAUGCGGGAGCGCGGUGUGUUUCUGACAGAGUGCGGUGGUUUAUGGGGCUGGGAUCGUAGUGCGGAAAGAGGGAAAAAGGCAAGAAAAGAAGCAAGAAAAAAAAAAAAAAAGAACCCAAGAAAAACAGAAGGAAAGAUGUAAGCUAAAAAGGACACCUUUAUUGCUGGCCCGGCUUGAGAUACGCAGCUCCGGGAGCGCCGCUGAAGCGCGCGGUGGCUGCGGGGUCCUUCGGGGAGGGGGUGCCCGUUUGAAACUCAACGCGGGACACGAAAAUAAAGGAGUGACGAUAACGAAAACGGUUCCUGAUCGAACUGUUCCGAUCCCGUUUUCAAACAGGCUGCGGUGUUUCAAAACGGGUCGGGAGCACACGAUAGUUCUGAAGGUGAAAGCUGUCCUUGGGAACAGGAGAGGGAAAGUAUCAGUCACACAGAGGAAGCUUCAGGGUUGAAGAAUUAGGAAAAACCUUGUAUGAAAAGCACACACAAAGAGGAGUGUUUUUGCUCUGUUUGUCUGCAGACCUUUGAACAUGAUGAAAGUCAGUCUUUCUCUUCUUCAGGAUUUCUCCAGUACUGGGGAUGUGCUAUUAGCAUACCUUGGUAAACCUUACUGAAGUGGGGAUUUGCAGACAACUGUUUACCCUGAACGGAUUGCAAGCAUUGGACAGUGCAAAUAUUCACAGUGGCACUGGUAACACCAAUAUCCCUAACCCUCUGAACAUGUACAGUAUGGACUGGAUAGUUCAAAAAACUGAAGAGGCUCUCAGACCAAGCUGAGUGUUUGUGCAAUUAAUUCAAGAUAAACAUUCUCCCAGCUGCCUAUGCAGUGCUUUAAUGACCAUUAGAGGCCCACUGCUGAGGAGGUUUGUGCUUCAAUUCCACAACCAUAUGAGAUUUCAGGCAGGUCAGUAGAACAGGCUUUAAGCUGAGACAGAUAAAGCCAAGCGGGAGGAAAUGGGAGAACACAGAGAAUAUUAUUUAUCAUAAAUGCCUGAGAGAAUUGGCUGGAGACCUGAAAUGAAUUUAGGGGCAGAUAAAGCUGACAGAUAAAUCUUAGACAAAUCUAGGAUGAGAGAAGAGUGUGAUUGGAGAAAUAAAAUAGAUGUGGUGAUGAUAGCUGCUGGAAGAAGAGUGAAGCUCUGCAGAAGUUCAAGCUCAUUUUCAGUAAGAUGUUUUAUCUUUGGGGAUUACUCCAACAGAAACUACAACUCCUCGGAGAUUUGCCUCAACACCACUAAAAAUGCAUAGGUCUGAUACUGCAAACAGGGUUCCCAUGAAGGGGCUAAACUCCUCAUGAAUCAACAUUGUGGCCUUCGGCAUUAACAUGGCUUUCGGUCGGUGGGGGCUUUAUCAGAUGAUGUAAUGUUUGUAAUCCGAUAUCCCACUCCACAAUGCUAAUG
ensembl:lncRNA